GACGGAGGGUGCAAGCGUUGCUCGGAAUUACUGGGCGUAAAGCGUGCGCAGGCGGUCUGUUAAGACCGAUGUGAAAUCCCCGGGCUUAACCUGGGAACUGCAUUGGUGACUGGCAGGCUUUGAGUGUGGCAGAGGGAGGUAGAAUUCCACGUGUAGCAGUGAAAUGCGUAGAGAUGUGGAGGAAUACCGAUGGCGAAGGCAGCCCCCUGGGAUAACACUGACGCUCAUGCACGAAAGCGUGGGGAGCAAACAGG
rnacentral:rRNA from 1 species